rnacentral:rRNA from 1 species
UACGUAGGGGGCAAACGUUGUCCGGAUUUACUGGGCGUAAAGGGCGCGUAGGCGGCCUGCUAAGUCGGACGUGAAAUCCCCCGGCUCAACCGGGGAACUGCGUCCGAUACUGGUGGGCUCGAAUCCGGGAGAGGGAUGUGGAAUUCCAGGUGUAGCGGUGAAAUGCGCAGAUAUCAGGAAGAACACCCGUGGCGAAGGCGGCUCUCUGGGACGGUACUGACGCUGAGACGCGAAAGCGUGGGGAGCGAACAGG